rnacentral:rRNA from 1 species
UACGUAGGGUCCGAGCGUUGUCCGGAAUUAUUGGGCGUAAAGAGCUCGUAGGCGGUUUGUCGCGUCUGCUGUGAAAUCCCGAGGCUCAACCUCGGGUCUGCAGUGGGUACGGGCAGACUGGAGUGCGGUAGGGGAGAAUGGAAUUCCUGGUGUAGCGGUGGAAUGCGCGGAUAUCAGGAGGAACACCGAUGGCGAAGGCAGUUCUCUGGGCCGUAACUGACGCUGAGGAGCGAAAGCGUGGGGAGCGAACAGG